rnacentral:rRNA from 1 species
AGAGUUUGAUCCUGGCUCAGAUUGAACGCUGGCGGCAGGCCUAACACAUGCAAGUCGAGCGGAUGAAGGGAGCUUGCUCCUGGAUUCAGCGGCGGACGGGUGAGUAAUGCCUAGGAAUCUGCCUGGUAGUGGGGGAUAACGUCCGGAAACGGGCGCUAAUACCGCAUACGUCCUGAGGGAGAAAGUGGGGGAUCUUCGGACCUCACGCUAUCAGAUGAGCCUAGGUCGGAUUAGCUAGUUGGUGGGGUAAAGGCCUACCAAGGCGACGAUCCGUAACUGGUCUGAGAGGAUGAUCAGUCACACUGGAACUGAGACACGGUCCAGACUCCUACGGGAGGCAGCAGUGGGGAAUAUUGGACAAUGGGCGAAAGCCUGAUCCAGCCAUGCCGCGUGUGUGAAGAAGGUCUUCGGAUUGUAAAGCACUUUAAGUUGGGAGGAAGGGCAGUAAGUUAAUACCUUGCUGUUUUGACGUUACCAACAGAAUAAGCACCGGCUAACUUCGUGCCAGCAGCCGCGGUAAUACGAAGGGUGCAAGCGUUAAUCGGAAUUACUGGGCGUAAAGCGCGCGUAGGUGGUUCAGCAAGUUGGAUGUGAAAUCCCCGGGCUCAACCUGGGAACUGCAUCCAAAACUACUGAGCUAGAGUACGGUAGAGGGUGGUGGAAUUUCCUGUGUAGCGGUGAAAUGCGUAGAUAUAGGAAGGAACACCAGUGGCGAAGGCGACCACCUGGACUGAUACUGACACUGAGGUGCGAAAGCGUGGGAGCAAACAGGAUUAGAUACCCUGGUAGUCCACGCCGUAACGAUGUCGACUAGUCGUUGGGAUCCUUGAGAUCUUAGUGGCGCAGC